rnacentral:lncRNA from 1 species
UGAAAAUGUUUGAAAACAAAUAUUAAACAAAAUGUGUAUCUUCUAUUUUUUCUUGCGUUGUGUCAAGGUUUACUGGGAUUGCGUUUUUAAAUGUGAUGGCAAUUGUUUAAGGUUUACUAUUUAUAUAUAUAUCUUAUCAGCAAAUGAAAUUUAGCAUCAGGAAAGCUUUGAAAUGAAAGUGCAUUCCCAACUGGCUGCUACACUUUUUAGUCAUUUAGAGUCC